rnacentral:rRNA from 1 species
CAGUCGAACGAGAGAAGAGAAGCUUGCUUUUCUGAUCUAGUGGCGGACGGGCGAGUAACACGUGAGCAAUCUGCCUUUCAGAGGGGGAUACCGAUUGGAAACGAUCGUUAAUACCGCAUAACAUAAUUGAACCGCAUGAUUUGAUUAUCAAAGAUUUAUCGCUGAAAGAUGAGCUCGCGUCUGAUUAGCUAGUUGGUAAGGUAACGGCUUACCAAGGCGACGAUCAGUAGCCGGACUGAGAGGUUGAUCGGCCACAUUGGGACUGAGACACGGCCCAGACUCCUACGGGAGGCAGCAGUGGGGAAUAUUGCACAAUGGAGGAAACUCUGAUGCAGCGAUGCCGCGUGAGGGAAGAAGGUUUUAGGAUUGUAAACCUCUGUCUUCAGGGACGAAAAAAGACGGUACCUGAGGAGGAAGCUCCGGCUAACUACGUGCCAGCAGCCGCGGUAAUACGUAGGGAGCGAGCGUUGUCCGGAAUUACUGGGUGUAAAGGGAGCGUAGGCGGGAUCGCAAGUCAGAUGUGAAAACUAUGGGCUUAACCCAUAAACUGCAUUUGAAACUGUGGUUCUUGAGUGAAGUAGAGGUAAGCGGAAUUCCUAGUGUAGCGGUGAAAUGCGUAGAUAUUAGGAGGAACAUCAGUGGCGAAGGCGGCUUACUGGGCUUUAACUGACGCUGAGGCUCGAAAGCGUGAGGAGCAAACAGGAUUAGAUACCC